CAGCCGCCGCGGUAAUUCGUAGGGGGCGAGCGUUGUCCGGACUUAUUGGGCGUAAAGCGCGCGCAGGCGGUCCCUUAAGUCUGAUGUGAAAGCCCACGGCUCAACCGUGGAGGGUCAUUGGAAACUGGGGGACUUGAGUGCAGAAGAGGAGAGAGGAAUUCCACGUGUAGCGGUGAAAUGCGUAGAGAUGUGGAGGAACACCAGUGGCGAAGGCGGCUCUCUGGUCUGUAACUGACGCUGAGGCGCGCAAGCGUGGGGAGCAAACAGGAUUAGAUACCCUGGUAGUCCACGCCGUAAACGAUGAGUGCUAAGUGUUAGAGGGGUUAAACCCUUUAGUGCUGGAGCUAACGCGUUAAGCACUCCGCCUGGGGAGUACGGCCGCAAGGCUGAAACUUAAAGGAAUUGGCGGG
rnacentral:rRNA from 1 species